CACCCAGACUCCUACGGGAGGCAGCAGUCGGGAAUAUUGCGCAAUGGAGGAAACUCUGACGCAGUGACGCCGCGUGCAGGAAGAAGGUUUUCGGAUUGUAAACUGCUUUAGACAGGGAAGAAAGAAAUGACGGUACCUGUAGAAUAAGCUCCGGCUAACUACGUGCCAGCAGCCGCGGUAAUACGUAGGGAGCAAGCGUUAUCCGGAUUUAUUGGGUGUAAAGGGAGCGUAGACGGCAGCGCAAGUCUGAAGUGAAAUCCCAUGGCUUAACCAUGGAACUGCUUUGGAAACUGUGCGGCUGGAGUGCAGGAGAGGUAAGCGGAAUUCCUAGUGUAGCGGUGAAAUGCGUAGAUAUUAGGAGGAACACCAGUGGCGAAGGCGGCUUACUGGACUGUAACUGACGUUGAGGCUCGAAAGCGUGGGGAGCAAACAGGAUUAGAUACCCCUGUA
rnacentral:rRNA from 1 species